UACGUAGGGGGCAAGCGUUGUCCGGAUUUAUUGGGCGUAAAGAGCGUGUAGGCGGCCACACAGGUCAGCUGUGAAAACUCGAGGCUCAACCUCGAGACGUCGGUUGAAACCGUAUGGCUAGAGUCCGGAAGAGGAGAGUGGAAUUCCCGGUGUAGCGGUGAAAUGCGCAGAUAUCGGGAAGAACACCCGUGGCGAAGGCGGCUCUCUGACGGUACUAACGCUGAGACGCGAAAGCGUGGGGAGCGAACAGG
rnacentral:rRNA from 1 species